rnacentral:tRNA from 1 species
GGGCAAGAAGUAUGAUAUGGUAAGCAGACUCUGGCUUUUGAGUCAGAAUACCUGAGUUCAAAUCUCAGCUUGACCA